GCAGUGAUGUUUGGUGUUCUUGAUUGUAGCUGGGCAAGGGACCACAGCCGGUGACCAUAGACAUUCCCAGCAGACGAGGCAGCCUCCAUUCACAAGUGACAUGGAUUCUCAUCCCCAGAUGUCUGAGAGAUAAGUCAAGGGCUAAGGCCCACAGAGGGGAUGAAAGCAAGGUGCUGGGAGGGCUUUUGAAUGAGCUCUGGGGGUGGGAUGUGCAAGAAGUGUCCCUUUAGGCCACCUGAAGGGAAAAUGCUUCUUUUGAUCACAGUGCUGAGGUGCGCAGGGCAGAGCAGUUCCGGUGUGUGUCCUGUCACUUGUCUCUGGUGCACUGUGUGAUAUUUGGGUCUCUCAGUCCUUUCUUCUUGUCGAAAGCUCUCUCUCCCUGUCCUGUCCCCUCUUUGUCAUGUCCUGUCCUGUGUCACGGGUGUCUGCACAUAUUUGUCCCGGAGCUGCUCUGCCCUGCUGCUAGCCUGUAAUAGCACAAGUCCUGGGACUUGAAAUUGGUAAUGCAGGGUGUGUUUGGGCUCUAGUUUUUUUGUUGAUUGCCUAACAUUUUUGGUGCUUUUAAGUUGUCCUGCAGCUUUUCACACUAGUCCUAACUUCCUUUCAGAUGCAGACAGUUCAAAUCAGUGGCAGAGAGCCCCAGUGCUGGGUGAGGGUGUUGCCAUGAGCAGGGAAUCGACUCGGAGUACUCAUACCUCCAUCACCAACUGGCCAACGGACCGGUGCCAGGAGCGUGGCUUCUCGUUUUCCAGCCUUCCUUGCUGUGGUGGUUUUGAGGAACUUACUGGAUUUUUCUUUUGUUCAUAGUUGGUGUAGGAGAAGGGCCAUGGUGUGCUUUUUGCUUGUUACGGUUCUUGCUUCAGGUGCUCAUGACAAGUUUUUUUUUGGGUUGAGUCUUGUGGUUGGAUUUCUUUUUGAUGGGUUCUUAUGUUUUUGAAGGUGUGUUUUUAAAGGUUUAUAAUGUUUUUUAUGGGUCAUAGCAUGAAGUAGAGGGUAGGUUUUUAAUUCGGCUGUGGAGGCUUUUAUUGGCGUGAGUAUGUAGUGGUUUAUUUUGGUUGGUUUGAGGUAGUGUCCUGUAGUUAAUUAUUGAGGUUUUUUCAAUAUUGAUAAUUGCAUUCUUGUUUAUUAUGUUGUAGGGGUUUUAUUUUUGUCUUGUUUGAUUGCUUUGUGUGUUUUAUUGUCUCAGACAAUUUGGGAGUUAUUAUUUAUGGUUACUUUUCUCUUUUGGUGACAUGUUUAUUUCUAGGUGGUAUUUGUGUUUUGAUGGUUUAAGGCAUUCUGAGGUCCUUGAGUUAGGAAUUAUUAUUUUGUUGUUGUGAAUAUAAUUUUUUUUUGUAGUUGGAUGUAUUUGUUGUUUUUAUUAGUUUGAUUUUUGGGAACAUGGGUAUUUCUAUGGUGGAUCUUUAUAGCUAGUAUUUUAUUUGGGUGGUGAGUUUUUUGUUUCUUCAUGGUUUCGAUUUUUUUUAUAUCUGUAAUUAUUUGGGGGGAGUUAAUUUUUAGAGUAUUGGGUUCUCUUGAUGAGUUAGUGUAGUGGUAGGGUAUUGUUUGGGUUUUUUUUAGAAACAUUUGGGAUCUGUUGUAUGGUUUGGAGUAUAAGAGGUUAGUUGAAGAGUUUUUUUUCUUUUUAGUGUUUUUUUUUUUGUUGUGUGGGUUUUAUAGGUGUUUUUUUUAAUUAAUGUUCCAUUUUUGUUAUGUGAUAAGAACUGUUAGUGAAAGGAGUGUAGUGGGUUUUUUUUGCUGGUAGUUGGUUGGCUGGUGGAGCCUUUCUGAAUUUUUUGGAUGGUAUUCUUGGUUAUUCGAUGCUGUUUGUUUGGCAUUUUAUUUUUAGGAAUUGGAUUAUAACUGCAAGUUCUAACUGUAACUCUAAUGAAACAAAACAAUGCAUAAAUAUGAAAAUGGGAAUAUAAAACUUCAAUUUUAAAUAUAAAUGGAAAACAUAUGAAUAAAACAUGUAACAUGAAUAAUGUUAUCCAUUACUAUUAGGUAUUAUAUUGUUUGAUAUAUAGUAUUUUGUUUAUAUAAAUACAUAUAAAUAUAGAUUAUAAAUAUAAAUAAAAUCCAUAUAAAAUAUCCAUAUUGAGAUGUAUAAUUAAUACAUGUGGAUAUAUAAAUAUAAAAAUUACUAAAUAAUAGAAAUCAAUACAGUACAUAAUGCAUAUUUUACUGUGUAUGUCCUAUUUUAACACAUUCUAUGUCCUAAAUAUUAUAUAUCGAAAUACGGUACCUCAAUAUAUUGUAAUCGAAUAUAUAACAACUUGUAAAAAUCAAAAAUAGAAAGGUAGAAAUAUUUAAAUAUAGUUUAAAAUAAAGGGGAUUUUUAUUUUGUAUUUGGUAGUAGGUAGGGGUUUUUUAUAAAAUCUAUAUAUAAAUAAAAUUAGAAAUGUGUAUAGAAAUACAUCUAAAUACCUUAAGAUCUAUAAAAAAUUCAAAGGUAAGUAAAAAUCAAUAUUAGCAGUAUCUAUUAAAUAUAAUAUGAAUAAUUUAUAAUAAUAAAUAAAUUAUAAAUAAUAUAAACAGUAAUUUAUAAUAAUUUAUAAUAAUAAAUUAUAAAUAAUAAUAAUAGUCGAUCUUGCUACCUUCAUAUAUAUAUGAUAUAUAUUUAUAAAUACAUCACUAUAAAGUAGAAAUGCAAAUGUGUCUAUAAUGAUGAAAAAAAUAUAUAAAUAUUCAAGUACCAUUUACAGACAGGGCUUUUUUUGGUUUUUAUUUGGUUAGAGGCAGGGUUUAAUGGAAGAAAAAUGAAUAUAUUGCAGUAUAGGGUUUUUAUAUGAAGAAAAAUGAAUAUAUUUUGAUAUCAUUC
ensembl:lncRNA